rnacentral:rRNA from 1 species
GACGAACGCUGGCGGCGUGCUUAACACAUGCAAGUCGAACGGAAAGGCCCUGCUUGCAGGGUGCUCGAGUGGCGAACGGGUGAGUAACACGUGGGUGAUCUGCCCCUUACUUUGGGAUAAGCCUGGGAAACUGGGUCUAAUACUGGAUAGGACCAUGCUGUAGGUGGUGUGGUGGAAAGAUUAGUUUCGGUAAGGGACGAGCUCGCGGCCUAUCAGCUUGUUGGUGGGGUAAUGGCCUACCAAGGCGUCGACGGGUAGCCGGCCUGAGAGGGUGGACGGCCACAUUGGGACUGAGAUACGGCCCAGACUCCUACGGGAGGCAGCAGUGGGGAAUAUUGCAAAAUGGGCGCAAGCCUGAUGCAGCGACGCCGCGUGGGGGAUGAAGGCCUUCGGGUUGUAAACUCCUUUCAGCCAUGACGAAGCCCUUGUGGUGACGGUAGUGGUAGAAGAAGCACCGGCUAACUACGUG